rnacentral:lncRNA from 1 species
AAUGGACCAAAAUUGAUGGAACUAUGGUAUAAUGUUGACCACCAUGCGAAGUUGUCCCUCUGACUUUGGAAUGGUCAAGAUGGCCACCGUUACCAUGGAAACAGCAAAAAUGGAGAAAAACAUCAAAGUGUUCCAAAGUAGGAAAAAACUUCACAGGAAUGGUAACUGGCAUGUGCUGAUUAACAGUUUGACAUCGGAAUUUUCAAAAUGGCCGCCGUUACCAUGGAAACUGCAAAAAUUUCAAAAGCUCCAAAAUUUAUGAAACUUUAAAAAAAUGUUAAUUUGCAAGUGUAGAUGCACUCUUUGACUAAGGAAUUUUCAAAAUGGAUGCCGUUACCCUGGCAAUGGGGGAAGGGUGCCAUCCGUUAUUGCUAGCAAUGACAAAUCUAGUUAUGUCACCCGAUCGACAAUGUCGGGUGACAUAUUGCUUUUCCUCUGUUUCUUUGUUAUUAUUAUUAUUCUUCCAACUAUUUUGUCCGCCACUUUUCUCGGAGCCAAUGGAACCAAUCUUAAUGAUAGUUAAGUAUAAUAGGGAACACAAAAUUGCGGGUUGCAGUAGGGUCUAAGACCAUAAAAAAUGGCUGCCGUUUCCAUGGAAACGGAACAAUUGUGAAAAAUUCCACUUUUUGUUUUUUUUUGGAAUAAUUUGGAGAUGCUUAAACUCAGAAUCAUCAUAUUUUAAUACAAUGAAGGUGCCACCCAUAUACUGGUUUUGGAUGAUUUUGGCAAUCAUUGGAACUACUAUGUUGCCAUGGAAACUACACCAAAAAUUUCAAAAUAUGAAAAUGCUCCAAAUUUUUUGAAACUUUACCAUAACGAUGAGCAACUUUGGUAGAUGUGGAAUUUGGCGUUGGAAUUUCCAAAAUGUCUG